CGAGGAAGGAUGAAGAAGUAAGUAGUUGUCCGUGGAACAAACGGCAACAACAAUUGUCACUAAAGCUUGAUUAUGACGAAAUAUUGAAUGCUUGGUCCGAUAAAGGUCCACUUUACCUUCAGUCCCAGUCCCCCCAGAUUGUUCCAGACAUCCAUGACGAUUUCCUCGCCUUCGACAUGCCUUUUUCGAUAAAUGGGCAACUGAUGAGUAGCAGUUCAGUUGUGCAUAGAGUG
rnacentral:misc_RNA from 1 species